rnacentral:piRNA from 1 species
UGACUGGAUAAUGUAGGUGCUAACAGUU